rnacentral:rRNA from 1 species
AUUGAACGCUGGCGGCAGGCCUAACACAUGCAAGUCGAGCGGAUGAAGGGAGCUUGCUCCUGGAUUCAGCGGCGGACGGGUGAGUAAUGCCUAGGAAUCUGCCCGGUCGUGGGGGAUAACGUCCGGAAACGGGCGCUAAUACCGCAUACGUCCUGAGGGAGAAAGUGGGGGAUCUUCGGACCUCACGCUACCAGAUGAGCCUAGGUCGGAUUAGCUAGUUGGUGGGGUAAAGGCCUACCAAGGCGACGAUCCAUAACUGAUCUGAGAGGAUGACCAGUCACACUGGAACUGAGACACGGUCCAGACUACUACGGGAGGCAGCAGUAGGGAAUAUUGGACACUGGGCGAAAGCCUGAUCCAGCAAUGCCGCGUGAGUGAAGAAGGUCUUCGGAUUGUAAAGCACUUUAAGUUGGGAAGAAGAGCUGUAAGAUGAUACCUUACUGUUUUGACGGUACCAACACAAUAAGCCCCGGCUAACUUCGUG